rnacentral:lncRNA from 1 species
UCACGACUCAUUAGGCAUCCAAACAUGAAAUAUAGCCAAAAACCUGCCUUCGAAACAAUAGAAGAAACUAUGUGCAACAUCCAAAAGUCCAACUAAGCUCAAACAAAUUGAAAUACUUUGAAACCGAUCUGAAAUCAUGGCUUAUUAUAUGCGCAUGUACAUGGAUCAGUGUACAUGCACUGUGUCAUAGCAUAUUUUGAGGUGGGUAAGUAAUGACUGUAUAUCCCAGAAAUCAGGCAGUAGCAUCACAAUCAUGGCGUAGAAAGUUGACUCAUCUGUCCAUUCCUUUGAGAACUUGGGACUUGGGAUUUCUAUCUUUAAAAAAAGAAAUAGAAAUUUGAUGUUUCUAUUUCCAGAAAAGCCUAUUACUAGGACCACAAAGUGACAGAGAGCUGAUCUUUACUCAUGAGUGUUGCAGAUUUGCAGUGGAGGAUUGACCCUUAUCAAACAAUAUUGUUCACUUUGAUUGAGCUUCAAAACCUAUAAAUGUUAGGACAGCUCCUUUUUUUUUGGUAAGGAAGAAUUGAGAUUGAAAAAAUGUAGUGAAAAGUGUCAGGUCUUGCAAUCCUACAAAGAAAAAAAGUAAAUAGUAUUAGUACAACUUAAAAAAUAUAGGGACUGAAAGGUGCAUGGCUACCAGUUGACUCCACGCUUGAAAAUUUAAUGAGAGAUGACAGAUCAUCAAAAGCUGGGUUAAGCAACUUGUAUGUUCUUCUGGUUUUGUUUAAUAAAGAGGGUACCGAAAUUGGGUACAGACAUAAUUUCUAAAAUACCUUUUUAUUCUCAAAAUCAAAGGAGUUUCUUAACAAAAAUGAAACAACUUAGGAUUAUAUAGAACAUGUCACUAACAUCAUUAACAAUUUAACAUUAAUCUUAUCCGCCAAUGACCACAUAUCAAGUAUACUAUAAAUCAUGGAUCUAUCAUUCAGCUGUCAAACAUAGAAGAAGAAUGAACAAUUCUGAAUAGAUCAGAGAACACAUCAGUACAGAACAGUGCAGUAAAAACAUACAUGAAAUUGACGCAAUCAUAGUACAAUGAGUACAUUAGAAGCAUAAAAAAUAUCCAGAGUAAAUGUGAGUUAAAUUGGUUAGACUUUUUCUUUUUGGUUCAUUUGUGUAAAACAUAUUUGAAUAUAGAUAUGGAUAUAUAUAGGUUUAUGAUCCUUCAAGGUUACUAAAAAUAUACACAAACAUACCUGUAUUUAACACUUUAUCAAAGUCCAAGUAAAAGGAAUCUGGUCACUUAAACCCUAACAAACAUCCUUGUAUAAGAUCCUUCAAAUAAAUCUGCUAUAAAUGAAGCCUGUGUUGUAAAAGAACAAAAGAGUAAAAGCUGAAUUUAUAUAAGGUUUUCCGAAAAAAAAAACAGAAAUUAAACACACCUUUUUCAAUACCAGGGUUUUGUAUCCGAAAAUAGGGUUUUGUGGGAUGAUUUGUAUUAGGGUUUUGUUCAUGCUACCAUGGACAGAUGAAGCUGCCAUAUGAUCUAGUUUUCUCCCUGAAAGAUAAACUAAAGGAGGGAUGGAUAGCUAGAUCAUGCUGGCAGCUUCAACUAUCAGUGGUGCGUGAUGAUAUAUAUGAAAGACUAUAUAGGGACACUGACAUGAUGUAUUGGCGUUGCAGGGCUGAGGGCUGCCUUUCAUAUAAAUAGGCUGAAACUCCAUACACUUAUAUCUUCUUUAGAAGACUUGUUUGAUAAGAGGGGAAUGAGAGGAUAUAAAUAGCGAGGGCUUUUUACUUUCUUGGAUGAUUUCCGUCUAUUUUUUUGUUUUAGGAAUAGUCUAUCUUUGCUACUUCCACUCUAAUUUUUCUUUGUCUA